CGCAUACAGAAAACAUGAAAAUAGGCAAGAAUGUAAGAACAUAUUGACGUGUAAGUCUAGCGCACUGGAAACAAGCGAAAUGUCCGUGACAUCUUUCAAAACAUAUCAGCUUUAUCAAUAAUUCAGUCGUCUCUUUGGCAACCGGGUAUUUAUGCCAUCCACACAUAACUACUGGAUCAUUAACAAUCUGUCAUUCUGCUGCGCGGCUCCAACGGUAUAACUACUCUAGUCUCAAGAUAGGCUUUUUCCUUUAUUUAACUUUCUCAACACAAGCGAGUGAGCUGUUAAUUUUGGCAAGAUGGGUGAGCCAGACAUGGAAAACAGGGAUCCCAACAAUAUCAACGAUCAUCUAAAGAUUUCCUUUGAAGAUAUUCUUGCAGAACCCGAAGGAGUACACAGUAUCGACUGCCUGUGGAAACUAGCAUUCACAUGCUUCAAUUGCUGGCUAGGACUAUGUUACAAGAUCAACACAAUCUGUUGUGGUAUUUGUAUAGCCGCCGAAUGGGGUUGCGAAUUCGCGCAAACUGCCUUUUACCAUAUAUGGUUUAUAACACCAUGCUUGCGCAUGCUCGAGAUCAACUGCUCUGUGCUAAAGAGAAUACACGUGACCGUUUGUGGAUGCUUUUUGGAACCAUGUUGCACAGCUUGUGGAAAAAUAUUCACAGCUUUUGAGAAAAGUUAAACAUCUUUCACUAUUCAAAUUUGAAUAGGUCUUCUAUGGUUAAGAUAUUUAAACAUGGUAAUAUAUAUUGCGCGAGUUCUGUUUGUAAAAAAAAACUAUUUAGAAACUUGUGACAUAGUCAAAUAUCACUGUAUUAUUUAAAAACUAUAAAAAUUAGACAUUACACGUCUAUCAACAUCAAAUAUUUAAUACAUGUAUAUUUAUGGCACUGCUGGGACACCAAGAUACCCAAUCUUACUGUGCCAUAGUCGGACAGUUUGCUCAUGGUUUACCUGUUCAUAGACGUUUGUUGAAUAUUGUUAACUAUACACCACACUUUGAGCUGUCUUUGGACUACUUCUUAUAUUGUCAUAUUUAUUCGUAGCUUCUUACAAUAGAGGGAUAUACUGAAGUAUCACAUAUUCUACAGAUUCGGUCAAGAAUGUUGAACAUUGUGUAUAACGUUUUCAAUAUAUUUUGUGUAUAAAUUCGUUUUGGUUAGGAAAUUGUGAAACUGUUGCAGUUUAUAUAAUAUUUAUAACAGCUAUGACAGUAGAGGACCUUAAAUUUUAAAUUAUAACAAAAUAUUUGAAAGACGAACUGUUAAGUGUUACAUAUAUCAAUCAAAACCGACUAUCAUAUUAGAAUCUUUGUUUGAUCAUGUUUAAGCAUAUUGUUCAAGCGUUUUUUGGGAAAUUUUCAUUUAAUGUCCGUUAUUUCUUCUGUUUAUAAAGCAACUGAUAGAUAUGUAUUGGAUUAGAUAGUUGUAAAGUCCAAGCAUAUCCUAUGUUUUAAGUCAAAUAAAAUAAAUUCAGGCCCACUAUUUAAAUCGAAAUUUAGAAGUCAUGUUAGAUGUAACAUACAAAACAAUAACAAAACUUAUUUACAGACAAAAAAUGACAUUUCAUCAAGUUAUAGCCAUACUGGUACAGGAAGUUCAUUUUUCUUUUAACUUGUGUUGUCGUACUGAUGCAUAGAUAAAUAUCAGGUGGCUUAUUUUUGUGUCAUUGACUGAUCUCUAGUACAAUACCAGUAUGACAUAAGUGCGUGUGCGUGUGCGUGAGAAGUGACUGGAGCAAAUGAAAGACAGCUGAAAAUGUAGGAGAGUUACAAAGCGAAGCUGUGAUAGAUUAAAUUUCUUGACUUAUCUGAUCCGUCCAAAAUAAACACAUUUGUAUUAUUUUUUUUUUUAAAAAUCAUGUUCGAUUUUUUUUAUUUCACUGUUUACUUAUUUUUCAUAUAUAUUUUAAAUAUUGUUUCUUUGCUGUUUAUAAAGUUCAAAACCUACAUACACCAUUAUAAAGGUCUCAUCAGCUGAAAAAGAAAUUGCUUAUAUUUCGUACUUUACCAAAAACAUGCGAUAAUUAAAUCGUGUUUAUAAGAAAUUUCGCUUCUUGUUUUCGCGCAUGAAUAUUUUCAAAAAGACCUUUUCAUUGUUAUUUAUAUAAAUAUUAGAUCCUUAUGCACUUCUCUCUUCCAUAAUCGAGCUCGGCUAUUACGUAUUAACCGCUAAAAGAUAAUGUUUCGGAACAUGUGUAUCUAGGAUUUUUGUACAGACAGGUUACUAAUAUUAGUAUUUAUGCAAUUAAACAAAUAUGACUAUUGUAGCUGAAAAUUAAAAUGUUAUUGCUCAACUAGAACUUCUUUGCAGUAAAAACAUAAUAGACAAUAUAUUGUUUGUCAAAAAAAAAUAAGACAGGUGUGCCAUUAAAAGAAACAUAAGAAUAUGUUUUUGAGCAUUGAUGUAUAAUUAUACAGCUUUACAAUUUAAACGCUUUUGAUUUCUUUGAUAUGAUAUUUUCUUAUGUUUUAUUUUUCUAUCAAAUGUACCUGUACGUAUUUUAUAUCUAUUGUUUGUUGAAUAAACUACUGUAGAAUAUUAUUGA
rnacentral:lncRNA from 1 species